rnacentral:rRNA from 1 species
CCUACGGGUGGCAGCAGUGAGGAAUAUUGGUCAAUGGGCGCAAGCCUGAACCAGCCAAGUCGCGUGAGGGAUGACGGUCCUAUGGAUUGUAAACCUCUUUUGUCGGGGAGCAAGGCCCGCCACGUGUGGCGGGAAGGAUAGUCCCCGAAGAAAAAGCAUCGGCUAACCCCGUGCCAGCAGCCGCGGUAAUACGGGGGAUGCGAGCUUUGUCCGGAUUUAUUGGGUUUAAAGGGUGCGUAGGCGGAAGGUUAAGUAGGUGGUCAAAUGUCGGUGGUCAACACCGGCCUGGCGUUGAAACUGGUCGUCUUGAGUGAGCGAGAAGUAGGCGGAAUGCGUGGUGUAGCGGUGAAAUGCAUAGAUAUCACGCAGAACUCCGAUUGCGAAGGCAGCAUACCGGCGCUCAACUGACGCUGAGGCACGAAAGCGUGGGGAUCGAACAGGAUUAGAUACCCGAGUAGUC